GUGACAGCCCCGUACACAAAAAUGCACAUGCUGUGAGCUCGAUGAGUAGGGCGGGACACGUGGUAUCCUGUCUGAAUAUGGGGGGACCAUCCUCCAAGGCUAAAUACUCCUGACUGACCGAUAGUGAACCAGUACCGUGAGGGAAAGGCGAAAAGAACCCCGGCGAGGGGAGUGAAAAAGAACCUGAAACCGUGUACGUACAAGCAGUGGGAGCACGCUUAGGCGUGUGACUGCGUACCUUUUGUAUAAUGGGUCAGCGACUUAUAUUCUGUAGCAAGGUUAACCGAAUAGGGGAGCCGAAGGGAAACCGAGUCUUAACUGGGCGUUAAGUUGCAGGGUAUAGACCCGAAACCCGGUGAUCUAGCCAUGGGCAGGUUGAAGGUUGGGUAACACUAACUGGAGGACCGAACCGACUAAUGUUGAAAAAUUAGCGGAUGACUUGUGGCUGGGGGUGAAAGGCCAAUCAAACCGGGAGAUAGCUGGUUCUCCCCGAAAGCUAUUUAGGUAGCGCCUCGUGAAUUCAUCUCCGGGGGUAGAGCACUGUUUCGGCAAGGGGGUCAUCCCGACUUACCAACCCGAUGCAAACUGCGAAUACCGGAGAAUGUUAUCACGGGAGACACACGGCGGGUGCUAACGUCCGUCGUGAAGAGGGAAACAACCCAGACCGCCAGCUAAGGUCCCAAAGUCAUGGUUAAGUGGGAAACGAUGUGGGAAGGCCCAGACAGCCAGGAUGUUGGCUUAGAAGCAGCCAUCAUUUAAAGAAAGCGUAAUAGCUCACUGGUCGAGUCGGCCUGCGCGGAAGAUGUAACGGGGCUAAACCAUGCACCGAAGCUGCGGCAGCGACACUAUGUGUUGUUGGGUAGGGGAGCGUUCUGUAAGCCUGUGAAGGUGUACUGUGAGGUAUGCUGGAGGUAUCAGAAGUGCGAAUGCUGACAUAAGUAACGAUAAAGCGGGUGAAAAGCCCGCUCGCCGGAAGACCAAGGGUUCCUGUCCAACGUUAAUCGGGGCAGGGUGAGUCGACCCCUAAGGCGAGGCCGAAAGGCGUAGUCGAUGGGAAACAGGUUAAUAUUCCUGUACUUGGUGUUACUGCGAAGGGGGGACGGAGAAGGCUAUGUUGGCCGGGCGACGGUUGUCCCGGUUUAAGCGUGUAGGCUGGUUUUCCAGGCAAAUCCGGAAAAUCAAGGCUGAGGCGUGAUGACGAGGCACUACGGUGCUGAAGCAACAAAUGCCCUGCUUCCAGGAAAAGCCUCUAAGCAUCAGGUAACAUCAAAUCGUACCCCAAACCGACACAGGUGGUCAGGUAGAGAAUACCAAGGCGCUUGAGAGAACUCGGGUGAAGGAACUAGGCAAAAUGGUGCCGUAACUUCGGGAGAAGGCACGCUGAUAUGUAGGUGAAGUCCCUCGCGGAUGGAGCUGAAAUCAGUCGAAGAUACCAGCUGGCUGCAACUGUUUAUUAAAAACACAGCACUGUGCAAACACGAAAGUGGACGUAUACGGUGUGACGCCUGCCCGGUGCCGGAAGGUUAAUUGAUGGGGUUAGCGCAAGCGAAGCUCUUGAUCGAAGCCCCGGUAAACGGCGGCCGUAACUAUAACGGUCCUAAGGUAGCGAAAUUCCUUGUCGGGUAAGUUCCGACCUGCACGAAUGGCGUAAUGAUGGCCAGGCUGUCUCCACCCGAGACUCAGUGAAAUUGAACUCGCUGUGAAGAUGCAGUGUACCCGCGGCAAGACGGAAAGACCCCGUGAACCUUUACUAUAGCUUGACACUGAACAUUGAGCCUUGAUGUGUAGGAUAGGUGGGAGGCUUUGAAGUGUGGACGCCAGUCUGCAUGGAGCCGACCUUGAAAUACCACCCUU
rnacentral:rRNA from 1 species